rnacentral:rRNA from 1 species
GACGAACGCUGGCGGCGUGCUUAACACAUGCAAGUCGAACGGAAAGGCCCUGCUUUUGUGGGGUGCUCGAGUGGCGAACGGGUGAGUAACACGUGAGUAACCUGCCCUUGACUUUGGGAUAACUUCAGGAAACUGGGGCUAAUACCGGAUAGGAGCACCUGCUGCAUGGUGGGGGUUGGAAAGUUUCGGCGGUUGGGGAUGGACUCGCGGCUUAUCAGCUUGUUGGUGGGGUAGUGGCUUACCAAGGCUUUGACGGGUAGCCGGCCUGAGAGGGUGACCGGCCACAUUGGGACUGAGAUACGGCCCAGACUCCUACGGGAGGCAGCAGUGGGGAAUAUUGCGCAAUGGGCGGAAGCCUGAUGCAGCAACGCCGCGUGCGGGAUGACGGCCUUCGGGUUGUAAACCGCGUUCGCCUGUGACGAUGCGUGAGUGACGGUAAUGGGUAAAGAAGCACCGGCUAACUACGUG